rnacentral:tRNA from 1 species
CCGGAAUCGANCCGGGGGCCCAACGAUGGCAACGUUGGAUUUUACCACAUAAACCACUUGCGC